rnacentral:tRNA from 2 species
GGACGUUUGGCCGAGUGGUCUAAGGCGCCCGACUCAAGAUCGGGUCUCGUAAGAGGCAUGAGUUCGAACCUCAUAGCGUUCA